rnacentral:pre_miRNA from 1 species
AAAGUACUCCCUCCGUCCCAAAAUUCUUGUCUUAAAUUUUUCUAGAUAUGGAUGUAUCAAGUCACAUUUUAGUAUUAGAUACAUCCGUAUCUAGUCAAAUCUAAGACAAGAAAUUUGGGACAGAGGGAGUAGUUG